AUUAAAAUAACUCUACUUCCCUUCUUUCACCUUCACUUCCCUUUAACAGAGCCGCGACGAGAGAGGAGCAAGAGGGAACUCUGCAACACUCCUUCCGUCGAUCCGUCGUUGGGAAUUUGGUCCUCCACAAUCGAUUAGUCUCUAUCGGAGGGCCACCUGAGUGCCGCUUCUUCUGACGCCGGUUUGCCGCUUUCCCUGACUCCGGUGUGCGAGUUCACUAGCGUUGAAGCUUCGACUGCCCUGACGCUGGACUGAUUUCACACGUGACGCCUGUUUGAGGAUAUAAGCAAAUUGGUUUGCUUUUGCUUGGAGUUGGUUUCUUUCUUAGGUGAGUUGUGCAUAAAUUUAUUUUGUAUGCUUCGAAUGAAAUUUUUUUGUUACAUUUUUAUUAGUUAUAGGAGUUAGUUUAUAGUAUGAGUAUGAGUAUGAGUUUGUUUAAAGUGUGUAUAAAUAUGUAAAUGUAUAUACUAAAAGUAUGUAUGUUGAUUUAUCAAAGUGUUUGCAUUGUUAUUGUGGGUACAUUUGGUUAUUUAGAUUAAAUUAGUCAUCUUUUAACCAAAUUGCAUAUUCUGAGUAGCUCUAUCCUCUACAUCUUGUGUAUAUUAUGAGUAUCUUAAAUUAAGUUAAGUGAGGCGUAUACUUGUUCUUUUUAAUUAUGCCAUGACUUAUUUUAAAGUUUCUCACAUGAAAUCUUAACAAAUUCUUAUCAAUAAUGAAAAUCAGCUGCCAAUAAGCUCAAAUUUUGGUUUACAAAAAGUGUUGCUGUCAAGAAGUCUGGUUUGACCUAGAAUAUGUUUUGCUGAUCAUUUUUAUCUGUUUUUUUUUUUCUUUUCUUUCUUUUUUUUUGGUGGAGUACAGAAUUUUGUUUUGUGGCUCUGUUUCUUUGUUCAGAUGUAUCCCUUCAAACUUUUGAAGUGCUUCUACUGUUGCUAGUGCCUAGUACAUAUAUGAUGAUGCUUGCUAGUGUUGCAAUGUGCAUUUUAUGCACUAUUGAAGUUGGCGACGCAUUAAAUGAUAUUGCUUAAGGCUUUUCUUGUGAUAUUUAAACGAUGCAAAAUCAUAAUUUUUAUGCCAUUUAUGUUGUCAAAUUUAAGUGUAAACCUUCUAGUUUAGGCUAUUUAUGUGAUUUAUCUUUAUGUAUUAUCUUUAUCUUUAUGUGAUUUAUCCUUCUAGUGUAUUGCUUUCAUGAUCGUCUUUGAAUUUAUUCCAUUUAUGAUAUUGAAGUCAAAUCACGAUUCCUCACAGCAUGCAUUUUCCAGUAUGUUCUUAGGUAGAUUUCUGGUGUAGAUUUGCCUAGUAAAAAUCCCCAGAAACAUCCUUUGUGAUAAACUAACUAUAGUGUCGUAGUACAUUUUAUAUGACCUUAUGGCCUGGUGUUCCUUGGUUGCUUUAGAUGACAGAAUAGGUACUACUCCAAUUUGUGCAGUGUUUUGGUUACAUUUGUAUGAGUUAUAGGAGUUAGUUUAUAGUAUGAGUAUGAGUAUGAGUAUGAGUUUCUUUAAAGUGUGUAUAAGUAUGUCAAUGUUUAUACUAAAAGUAUGUAUGUUGUACUUUCAAUUUCAAGUUAAAGUAUGUAUGCAUAUUGUUUAAAGUUAGUAUGUAUGUAAUAGUUUAAAAUAUCUUUCUUAAAAUAAUUCCAUGUUCAAAUUUGAAAAAGUAUAAAUUAUAUAUAAGAUACAAGUUUACAAUAGUGAAUGUCAUGAUUAAAGCUUAGAAUUUGUUUAAGGAAUAUUAAUUAACGUAAAGUAUGUUAUGAUUUGUUCUUCAUAUUGGAGGUUCUUAAUGAUAGGUGAUUAUUACUCUCUUAUUAUGUAGAAGUAUGGUUACAUUCACUAGUGGGGUUAGAUGUCAAAGGAUGGGUAAUGUUGGAGUGAUAUGGAUCUUUGGACAUCAUUUUAAAUCUAAGUCCAUAUCAUACAUACAGACAUUUAAAUGAAUGCAUUAUUUUUGUUUAUGAUUUAUACUAUGUGAUCUAUUGAUU